CCCUAAUAAGUACAGCGGAACCGUGCGUGGCCUCCGACUCCGAUUGAUUUUUCGAUUGAAAUUAUCUUUAUUUCAGAAAGCGAUUGGGGAAGGAAAGAUUGUGUUUAUCCCAAUUCCAGGAUGCCACUGGCUUCCAACGCUUCGGUGGCCCUCUCUACCAGCCAAUGCUGGCAGACAAGGUUAUCGCCGCGCAGGAUGACCUCCUCCCUUGACGGAUGAGACUCUGCCAUUCGAUUCAUGUGUUAUUCGCAAGUUGGAAGCACCAAAUGUCUCCCACAGGUCCCGUGUCGCACACACCGCCGUCCCUUCCCCGUGGCGACCGUGUACAAGACCGACGUCACUUCGCCCGCUGCUACGUCCAAGGUCUGGGAAUGGCCGCCACGCGGACCUCACAGGACCUUUCAGGACUUUCAGGACCUUUCAGGACAAAAUGACGAGCUCAUGCCAAAAC